rnacentral:lncRNA from 1 species
AUGUGUGAGGCAGUGAUGGGUGCUGGGGGUGGGGUGCUGAGCAGCACAGAGCGCGGGGGGGGCGCAGCAUCCUGCAGCACCACAAGCCCUGCAUCCCACAGCAGGACGCACAGCAGCCCCAGCAGCACAGACACCGCAUCCCCCCCCCCCNNNNNNNNNNNNNNNNNNNNNNNNNNNNNNNNNNNNNNNNNNNNNNNGGUGCAGGAUUUGGGGUACCACAGCCCCACAGCGCAGCUCUGCAUCCCACAGCAUCCCAUCCCUGUGGGUACCACAGCAUCCCGCAUCCCAUGGCACCCCCAGCACCAUGAACCCCCCCACCUCACCCCAUGCGGUCCUGGGGGGGGUCCUGCCCCCCCACCAACACAGAGCAAAGGAGAGGGGCGUGGGAAUGACAAACACUGGGGACCCAUUGAGGUCACCGUGCCCGCCCAGCAUUGGGCACAGAGCACGUCUGCUGGCAGCUCGUGGGUUGGUGCGGGGGGGGGACACUCUCCAGCUGUCCCCACGCAUCUCAGUGCUCCCAAAUCCCCCCCCACAGCCACACACAUCCCCCUGUCCUCAUUCCCCAUCAAUGCCAGCCGGCGCUGGGCACCCCGCAGGGCACAGGGUGGCACUGGGGGGGGUCCCGGGGGGGUCACAGCCCGGCCCCUGGGAUUACCCCUCCCGGUGCUGUGCAAAAUAGGUCAGCGCUGUGCAGGGAGGUGGGGGCUGGCACUGUGCUUAACCCCCAGCAUGCCGUGUCCCCGUGUCUCCGCGUCCUCAGGGCACCGAUGUGGUGUGGGGGGGGUGUGGGGGGGGGGCGGCACGGGGUCUGCCCCCCCAUACUCACGUAGUCAUGGAAGGCUUUGGCCUCGCUCGAGUGCUCGCACGUCUCACGGCGGUCGGGGGCUGCACAGUAGAGGUCCCAGAAGACGCUGCAGGGGGGGGGCACAAAGCGUCAGGGCCCCCCCCGGUGUCCCCACGUCCCCCCACCGUGCUGUCAGCCCCCAUCCCAGGGCUAUGGGGGGGGGUGGGCUGAGCCCGACCGCAGUUGAGGCACUGAUGAGGAGUGGGUGUGGGGCUGGGGGGGCACAGGGCUGUGCUCAUAGCACUGCUGUGGGGUGGAUGGGGUGGGGGUGGUCCUGCCCCCCCCCCCAGCUGCAGUGUUUGCCUGGAGACGGUCGCUAUGCACUGCAGCCCAAAUUCCUGGGCCCUGACAUCAGGAGGCGCAUCCCAGGGUGGGAUGGGGUGGGGUGGGGUGGCUCCAAUGUCAGCCCCCCCGGGUCGAGGUGA